rnacentral:lncRNA from 1 species
CUCCUGGGGACACAGAACACAGCACAUUGUAACUACAGCAAUAGACUCAACUGCGAAAGAUCUCUAUCAGGCAUCACAGAGAAUCUGAGGCAGCUGGCAGUUAUCAGCUGAAGCAGAUCUUUGAUUGAAAAUGACUGUGGACAAUUCACUAAUGGUGGCAGAAAUGACAAGAGAAUUUGCAGCUGGCAGGUUUACAAAACAAAAUCAAAAACCCCAAAGAACAAGCAAAGUAUGUGGAUGUACUUAUGAGCACUGUACCAAAAUGUUUUUGAAGUUUACUCGGAGCAGUUGCAGAAGGAUCUAGUGACGGGUUCAUAAAAUGGCAGAUGAAAUUCAGUACCAAUAACUACAAAGUAAUGCACAUGGAAAGAAAAACAGUCGUAAUUAUACAAGCACACUGGCAUGCUUCAGUGUGACUAUUUCCAUUUGGAAAGAGAUCUUGUGGGCUUUUUGGUUAGUUCUCUGACAGCCUGAACUUGAUGCUCAGUAGCAGUUAUAAAACAGUUGCACUAAUAUAAAUUAUUAGGAAAAGAAUGAAGAGCAAAACAGAAAACAUAAUUAUACCAUUGUAUAAAACUGAAGUGCUGGCAAAGCUUAAAUAUUUCGUGAAUUUCUGGAAAUUCAAACACUCAAACCCCCUUAAACCUGGAGAAAGUACGGAGAGGGAUGUGUACUAUGAUGAGAGAUAUCUGAAGGACACUGUAUUCAACAUUCUGAUUAAAAACAAGAGUGAUUACAGGAUGCCUUACCAUCUCACAGUUACUAGAGAUGCUAAGGAGGAAUUGCUGAGAGAAGAUAAACAGGUUUUCCCUCUCCCAGGUGAGUGCACUUAUCACUGGUUUAUAGUUUACUUUUUUUUUUUUUUUUUUUUUUUUUUUUUUUUUUUUUUUUUAAAGUAUAUUGCCCUGACUCCCCCCUGCCCCCUUUUGUCUGCACAGAAGCUCUGUUACAAAGGACAGCAAAUAGAGCACAUUACUGGAGAAUCCUACACUUGCCUCUGUACUGGGUACUAUAGGAUCGAAGUUUUUGGGUCUGAAGAGAGUGGUGAACUCUUUUCUCCAACAUCCUAA